GCCUACACCCAGCUUUUGGUACCAUGUCAGUGUGGGCGCAGACAAAUGGAGGUCCCACCAAGAUCGGGAAAGUGAAGAAUUUUUCUGACGAGGUCAUCCCAUGGCACCAUGAAGCGGGAGACAGUGAAGGACACUGCGGGAAUUGAAAGCAUGUGCAAAGAAAAAUAAAGAUGGGUUAGUGGAGGCAGUGACGUUCAGGGAUGUGGCCGUGGUCUUCAGUAAGGAGGAGAUGGGGCUGCUGGACGCUGCCCAGAGGAAGCUGUACCACGAUGUGGGCUGAAGAACCUCAGGAACCUCCUGGCAGUGGCCUCCAGAUGAAGAUGUAGAACUCUCAGCUGCACCAUGCCUCCCUGGAUGCUGC
ensembl:lncRNA